AGAUCAACACAUUAGCACUGAGAGGGGGCACCAAUGUCAAAGAGAGUGUUUGGAGGAUGAUGAGCCAUGUCAUGACAAAUCCCCUUGCACUUAAAAUCAAUUGGAGAGGAAUCAGUGGGAAGGCUGCAUUCCACCGAAUGGUGUUAAAGGAUGUUAUAACAAGUGGUUGCAUCUUGCCUCUGACCGUGAUGGAGGGAGGAAAGCUCGUGAGGGUCGAGCUGGUGUUGCUGCACACAGUCACCAAAUUUGACGGAUGUUAUGCUAUACCCAAUGACUUCUGCUUUAUCACCUUCAUUUCACACAGACA